UCCCAGGAAAACUGUCAGUGGAGGAUCAGUGGCGUUGAGACAGAUUCAAAAGAUCGGGAGGAUCGGUGGUUCGGAUCGGGUCGCAGCUGUUGCCGCUGGGCACACACCUUCAACUCGUUGAGUUUUUGCAUCUCGACUUGUUUCAGUUCGUUUCGUUUCGGUUCGUGCGUGUUGCGUUUUAUAUGAAUAAUUGCAUCAAGAUUUUUGCCAACUCUUUUGCGGUCGAUUGCGGCAGCUGCCCCAACUGCACUGGACAUCAUUUCUGUGGCCGUUCAAGAACCCCAUGUCUUCCCACAAACACGCACAUUUUUGGCAGCCACAAAAUGUUGCAGCAAAACCAACAAACCAAAAAAAAACCUAGAGAGGGCACAAACGGGACAUGAAAUUGUUUUGCACAUAACAGCAAGCAAACAAACAUGAAAAGGGAUAUGGAUGCGGAUAAACGAAUAUGAUUGCCGGGGCAUGUGAAAAAAGCAUAACUGAAAUAUUCUCGCCGCUUAAAACAAACAGGCGUAAAAAAAUGAAACAGCCAAAGGAGCACGAACCAAGCAUUUUUUUUCGGCUGUCGCUCCUUGAAAAUAAAAUGUUUUUUAUAUUUUGAUAAAACCAAAA